AGUGAACGCUGGCGGUAGGCCUAACACAUGCAAGUCGAACGGCAGCACAGUAAGAGCUUGCUCUUACGGGUGGCGAGUGGCGGACGUGUGAGGAAUACAUCGUAAUCUACUUUUUCGUGGGGGAUAACGUAGGGAAACUUACGCUAAUACCGCAUACGACCUUCGGGUGAAAGCAGUGGAACUUCGGACCUUGCGCGAUUGAAUUAGCCGAUGUGGGUUUAGCUAGUUGGCGGGGUAAAUGCCCACCAAGGCGACGAUACGUAGCUGGUGUGGGUGACUGAUAGGCCACACUAGAACUGAGACACGCUCAAUACUACUACGGGAGGGAGCAGUGGGGAAUAGUGGACAGUGGGCGCGAGCAUGAUACAGCCAUACCGCGUGGGAGAAGGAGGCCUUCGGGUUGUAAAGACCUUUUGUUGGGUAAGAAAAGCAGCAGGUUAAUACGACGCUGUUCUGACGGUACCCAAAGAAUAAGCACCGGCUAACUACGUG
rnacentral:rRNA from 1 species